rnacentral:rRNA from 1 species
UAGGGAAUCUUCCACAAUGGGCGCAAGCCUGAUGGAGCAACACCGCGUGAGUGAAGAAGGGUUUCGGCUCGUAAAGCUCUGUUGGUAGAGAAGAACGUGGGUAAGAGUAACUGUUUACCCAGUGACGGUAUUUAACCAGAAAGGAACGGCUAAAUACGUGCCAA